CCUAAUUCUAGAUCCCCUCCCAUUGAAAAAGCUAAGAGCUGACAACCGCAAAAGACCAAAAACUAGACGGAGGAGGCAGAUUAAUUCUUUGUUCUUGAAUUUCACCAAAAAAAUAGCCAUUUUCCUAUCCCCUUUCUAAUUCUAUCUUCCCAUAAAGAUAUAUCUAAUAUCAAAAGAACAACUGACUUAUUCACAAAAAAGAUGGCAAACGCAAAAGAAAACAAAAAAAAAAGAACAAAGAGAACAGAGAAAAAGAAGAAGCAAAAAUUAGAGGAAGAUAGAUAUGGUAAGUUGAGUGAAAAUUUUGAUGUUGAGGUCUUGAUUGUUCGGAUCUGAGUGACAAAGAGGUGGUGGGACUGUUCGUUCGGUGCUCGAGGUUUCUGGUUCUGAUUUCUGUCUAUACCAUUAUUGUUGUAACCGAGAUGGCAUCGCAUCUUGAGGUUUUGAGGCAGGUGCAUCUAGCCAUCAGUCAGGCGCAUAGAGUGGACAUCUCAGCUUGAGACUUUCUGUUUCGAAUUGUGCGGCUCCGGUUUGAGAGUUUGGACGCAUUCUUGAGUUGGAAGUAGGCUCGAAAUGAGGUA